UACGUAGGGGGCAAGCGUUGUCCGGAUUUAUUGGGCGUAAAGAGCUUGUAGGCGGUUUGUCGCGUCUGCUGUGAAAUUUCGGGGCUCAACCCCGAACUUGCAGUGGGUACGGGCAGACUAGAGUGUGGUAGGGGAGACUGGAAUUCCUGGUGUAGCGGUGAAAUGCGCAGAUAUCAGGAGGAACACCGAUGGCGAAGGCAGGUCUCUGGGCCACUACUGACGCUGAGAAGCGAAAGCAUGGGGAGCGAACAGG
rnacentral:rRNA from 1 species